CCCGCACAAGCGGAGGAACAUGUGGUUUAAUUCGAUGAUACGCGAGGAACCUUACCUGGGCUUAAAUGUAGAGUGCAUUUUUUAGAGAUAGAAAUUCCCUUCGGGGCUUUCUGCAAGGUGCUGCAUGGUUGUCGUCAGCUCGUGCCGUGAGGUGUCGGGUUAAGUCCCAUAACGAGCGCAACCCUUAUCGUUAGUUGCCAGCUGGUAAAGCAGGGGACUCUAGCGAAACUGCCACCGUAAGGUGAGAGGAAGUGGGAUGACGUCAAAUCAGCACGGCCCUUAUGUCCAGGGCUACACACGUGUUACAAUGGCCGGCACAGAGGGCAGCUACCUGGUGACAGGAUGCUAAUCUCGAAAACCGGUCUCAGUUCGGAUCGAAGUCUGCAACUCGACUUCAUGAAGCCGGAAUCGCUAGUAAUCGCGGAUCAGCAUGCCGCGGUGAAUACGUUCCCGGGCCUU
rnacentral:rRNA from 1 species